rnacentral:lncRNA from 1 species
CAGCUCUGUUAGUCAGCUUAGGGCUGGGGCAGUGAGGGAACUCGGCCAUAUAUCUGUCAUCGUCCAGCAGAUCAGCCCAGGCUCUUUCACACAGGGGUUGGUAGGAGGAUUCCAAAAGCAGCAAGUUAAGACAAGCUCCCACAGAUUUCUCACACCAGGUGUUCAAAUCCCAGAGAGAAAACUUCCUCUUUUCAGUCUGACAUUUUCAAAUGUGUUGAUACAUACCCGAUGGAGUGAUUCUGCAGAAGAUGGUGCCACUCAUAGCUCCAACCUGAAUGAAGUAGCUCCCCGAAUUCUAUUUAUGUCAUAAUGAAUAUAUUCAACUUAAUUUUGUCAAAGACUUCAUAGGCGCACCUGCAGCUAAGAGUGCAGUAUGGAUCUGGAGUGAUUCUGAAUUUUCUUUCCACAAAAAUAAUUUUGGCAGCUUGGGAUCAAUAUCUUCCUCCCAUAUGUUUCAUAUUCUCUAUAAAGUAUAAUUGAAGACACCCUUCUCAACAGUACUUCUCAGUACGAAUACAUUCAGAAAUUCUAAAUAGGUAAUUUGAAAAGGAAGGAAACUAACAUUUGGCGAGUGUUUUCUAUGACAUUCCAGGGCUGUGUGUUAUGCACCUUUGCAUAUGUCAUUUCAUUUAAUCUGCACAACAAUGUGAGAACGACGAUGUCAAGCUUACUUUUGCAGGACAGGAGACUGAGGCUCAGAGAGGCUAAAAUACUUGCCUAAGAUCACACAGUCAUUAGCGGUACAGCCAGGAUCGGAAGCCAACGUUGUCUGACUCCAGAGCUUGCUCUGUUGUGUGUGCUCUCAACACUACAUCUCUAAUUCUCCACCCCUCCCAAUCCCAAGCCUCUCCUUAUUGAGAAUAUGGACUAAAUCUUUGGGGGAAAAUCCAAAUGCUGACACCAAAUCUAGAAAGAGCUUUCUUGGACUGGACUUUGAAGGAACAUUUUUGGCUCAAACUUACACUUGGACCACAUCUACUUCAUCUUUAGUUAAUCGGCUUCAGUGUUCUCAUUUCCUUGUGUGUAAACGGAAGCAAAGUUGGACAAGGAUGUCCGUGACCUUGGACCAAAGGAGACUUUCACUUUAUUUGAGGAAAUCCUUGUCUUCCUCCAGGAGAUGAGAAGGAAUCGGUCCCAGCCCAGGGAGAUGGAUUCUUUCCUCUGCUGCUCUGACAGCCAUCUCGGCAACUCUCCCGACCAAACUCCCCAGGCUGUGGCGUGCCCCGCCGUGUGGUUCCUGUUGGGAGGCAAGGACAUGUGCUGGAUGUGUAUGCAGUCUUUGAAGCUGGAGAGGCCUGUGUUGGAAACUGUGCUCUGUCCCAUGCCAGUUCCCUGACCUUGGGGGACGACCCAGACCAUCAUUCUUCUCUGGUCUGCCACCUUCAUCCUCCACUUGCAGCCUCCUUUGCAGUGACCAUACAGGUGCAGAGCAUGAGCAGGAUGCACAGGGGUUUAUGUGGUCAGGCCUGCCUGGAGUUGGCACAUAGCAUUUCUGCUUCCAUUCUUAGGUCUGAAAUCCAGGUCACAGAGCCCUAACAUAACUACAAAGGAUCCUGAAAAGUGUUGUAUUCCAGUGUGCCUCGGAAAAGAAAAUAGGAUUAAUAAACUUUGAUUAGACUAAAUCAUUGA